GGGUUGGACUAGAUGAUCUCCUGAGGUCCCUUCCAACCCUGAUAUUCUAUGAUUCUGAAAAAUGCUGAAACAACUGAUUCAAACUCCAUCCUGAACCAUCAGGUGAACAACUAGGUCCUUUUCGCCAAUGGCCCCCUCUGAGACAUAGAGCAUCCUCAACUCCCAUUGAGUUCAGUGGAAACAGUGUGCUCAGAACCUUGAAGAAAUACCUAUCACACAGAGCCCAAGUCCCAAAACACCACCCCUCACAGUGACAAAGUGGGUGAGGUAAUAUCCUUUACUGGAUCAACUUCCGCUGGUGAGAGAGACACGCUUUUGAGCUACACUGCCUAGGUCCACUUGAAAUGAAGUGACAGCCGGUCUUAAGUUAAGUAACUCUUCAGAAAAUAUGCAAAUCUCUUUUGCUCCACUGACUUUAUAUUCUGCAAGCCUGGCACUUUGGUUCUCACUUGUGCAAACAGUCUAGCUGUCGCCUGUAUAUCUGCACACACAAAUUAAUCUUGAACAAUGCAGUGCAGGCUGAACUCAUUCUGCUUCAGAUAUCCUCUCACCAGAUUGUCUGAGUCAUAUUUCUCAUCCAAAUACCUUUGAGCUUUCAGAUUGCCUAUGGGAUCCAACUCUAUGCUCUGCAGCAGCUCUCACUGGUCCCAUUAGCACUAGGCAGUCUGUUUCCGUUUUUAUCAGCAACCCUUUUUCAUUUUUUAGUAUAUUUCUUUUUUAAAAUUUCUAAACAAGCACAGAGCCAUAUUUUUCACAGUCCUGGGCAACAUGCAUCUCAAUCCCCUGACGUCAACAUAGAUCAGGGCAGAAUUUACCCCAUUGUAAUGAUAAAGGUUCCAUAUCAACAGCAAUGGAAAAUGAAGUCCAUUUAGCCACCACAGAGAGGGAGCAACACAAGAGGCCCGUUGUAAUGCAAGCUACCUCCACCCUUGUAUACCAGUGUGCCUGCACCAGAUUAUCAGAUUUGAGAUGGAUAUAUUUCCUCAAAGGGAUGAAAGGGUAGGUCAGUCUUCAUGGCCAAUUCAUUUCCUUGGACUCUGUCUUGGACUGUCAGCCAGGAUUUCAAUAAAUACAAACAGGGAUGGCAAUGUCUGUGUACCAUAUUUGGACAGAGACCAUUAACUUUAUACCACCUUUGUGGCUCCUCAAUUCUGAGGUGGGCCAGGGACCAAUUCAGCCUCCAGUGUAAGUUAGAGUCAUCUUAGGACAGCUAUAAUUUCCAACAUUGCUGACAAGGAGCCAUUCCAGCAGCCAGUAAUAACCUUUGCAUAGAAACACUGUGUCCAGUUUCCAUUUUCUCCUGGCCACACUCAUGUAUUGGUACCUUCCGUGGGAUGUGGAGCCUCCAUACUACCCAAAGAAUCUGCCAGCUGUCCAGGGUUAUCAGCCCUGUUGUGCUGAUAGGGUGACCCAGAAGUUCCACAGAAGCCUGGUAAAUCAAGCCUGUAGUCUCUGUAGGUCACGCCACCUUAUUAAAGAUAAGGGUGGCAGCUUUCUCCUUCAUUUUAAACAAAUAAAGGGAGCCCUUGGGCUCCUAACAAGCUAUAAAUCAGCAGGACAAAUUUUGAGUGGCCCUGUAUUAGUCUGUUUGUAUCUUUGCAAUUUGCAAUAGUAGGGUUGUUUCUAGAACAGGCUGAUCCUACCCUGAUCAUGCACUCCUGCUCAGGCCACAUCAUCUUACUUACAUCACUUCAAUAGAAAUCCUGGGUGAGUAAGGAGUGCAGGAGAGGACCCUUUUUGCAGACUCUUCCCCCCACCCCAGACAUGUGUUUUAGACUAUCCUUAUACUUAAAUUUGUUACAUUUGCAUGUCUGUCAGUUAUGUCCAUGAUUCAAUCAGCUGACAUGAGAUUAUGAACAGUCUGAAGCAGAUAACUUGUUUUGUCUAGGAUAAAGUCUUCCCCUCUCAUCUGUGAAGUGAAAAUCCUUCUGAAGCAGAAAAAAUUUCCCCUCAGGACAUAACUAUAAUCUUUUUUUCUUGGGCAGCAGGCAUUCGUUCACAAUAUGCCCUGGAGCAAGGUGAUGGGGAAACUGUGGUUCAGUGUGGAAGCGAACAGUGGUGAACUAUUUAUCUCGUGCUAUAACUGCCUUCUGGUUAAGGUAAUCGACUGUCAAAUGUAAAAGAUUUUAUACAUAAAAUUCAACUCAGUUACAAGUUCAGUUUUUACUGACAAAAGCAAGGGAAUGCCGAGUUAAGUCUCUUAUCCUCUUAAAUGUGCUCCACGGUGCCAUACUAUAGCAGUCUAUGGUAUGUAAUGCAGUUAUUGCAGUACAUAUCAUGCACAUGUCUGAAUAUGCUGUAGUGCAACGUCACAGUGGGUCAAAUUCUGUUUACAGGCACUGAUUCAGGAAAGUGUGCCGUUAAGCAAGGCCUUAAGUCCAUACCUAUUCAGGACAGAACUUCAGCACAUAUUUAAGCACGUGCUUAAGUUCCAUUGAUGCUGAUGGGACUUGAGCAUAUUUGAAAUGUCACCCUGAAUGGGGACUUGAACUGGGUCCUCUAUUUCAGGAUAUCCCAAGUGUAAGCGAGAGCUUGCUAUGGUGAAUGUCAGCCUUACUUACUUCUGCAUCACACACUACCAUGAUAUUGAUUUUUGAGUGAAUGUUGAUUCUGUUCUUCCAUCAAAGUCGUCCUAAUGCCUUUUAUAAAAGGCACUGACAGACCUCAGUUUUCAUUGUUUACAAUACAAUUAGAGCCCUUCCUUUCAUUCUGAUCUUGCAUUCUGUCUGGAGUCACAUCUUGUCAAAUUGGAAGCAAUUUUUGUGUCCAGAAAAACACUUUAUAUCAUUUGUUGUUGUUUUUGUGGGAAGCAAUGUUAAAACUGAUUUUAAAGAAACGAUUUAAUAUGAUUUUAAAUAAAUACCACUAUAUUAAUGGAACCAUAAUUUGAGGUUAUGUAGCUAAAUCAAUCUCACACUGCAUAGAACCCUUUCCAUUAAAUUAGUACAAUACAGAACAUGUAGU